UACGUAGGGGGCAAGCGUUGUCCGGAAUUAUUGGGCGUAAAGAGCGUGUAGGCGGUCCGGUAAGUCAGCUGUGAAAGUCAAGGGCUCAACCCUUGAAUGCCGGUUGAUACUGUCGGGCUAGAGUCCGGAAGAGGCGAGUGGAAUUCCCGGUGUAGCGGUGAAAUGCGCAGAUAGUCGGAGGAACACCCAAUGGCGAAGGCAGCUCGCUGGGACGGUACUGACGCUGAGACGCGAAAGCGUGGGGAGCAAACAGG
rnacentral:rRNA from 1 species